rnacentral:rRNA from 1 species
AGUGAACGCUGGCGGUAGGCCUAACACAUGCAAGUCGAACGGCAGCACAGUAAGAGCUUGCUCUUACGGGUGGCGAGUGGCGGACGGGUGAGGAAUACAUCGGAAUCUACUUUUUCGUGGGGGAUAACGUAGGGAAACUUACGCUAAUACCGCAUACGACCUACGGGUGAAAGCAGGGGAUCUUCGGACCUUGCGCGAUUGAAUGAGCCGAUGUCGGAUUAGCUAGUUGGCGGGGUAAAGGCCCACCAGGGCGACGAUCCGUAGCUGGUCUGAGAGGAUGAUCAGCCACACUGGAACUGAGACACGGUCCCGACUCCUACGGGAGGCAGCAGUGGGGAAUAUUGGACAAUGGGCGCAAGCCUGAUCCAGCCAUAUCGCGUGGGUGAAGAAGGCCUUCGGGUUGUAAAGCCCUUUUGUUGGGAAAGAAAAGCAGCAGGUUAAUACCCCGCUGUUCUGACGGUACCCAAAGAAUAAGCACCGGCUAACUUCGUG